AUUAUUAUUAAUAGGUUUGUACAAAUACGUCAAAAAACAGAUAUCCCAGAAGAAACAUUUAAUAAUAAAUUGAAAAUGAACCAUAGAAAAUUACAAACUCAAAUGAAAUGUCUAUUUGGUGCCCAUUUUAUUAUUUCACUAUUACUCUAUAGAUGGCAGCGAUUGUAAAAUGGACAACUAAUAUCGAGGAAUAUUGAUAUAAAUUAUAUAAAAAGUUGCAAAUAACUCAACAAGGAGGCAUUUUUCGAAAAAUUACUAACACAAAAAAGUAUUUUUUUCUACGACCGUUUAAUAACAUGCUUAUUAUUCACUAUUUUUGAAUAGAUAAUAACACUCAUGUAGGAAGAGCUAAAGUUCUUAUGGAAAUCCAUUGUUGCCACAUCUUCAAAUAUGAGAAGAGACGUCUAUCAAUUACUGUCAAUUGUCAUUGUCUGAUGAUCUUUGUUUGGUUAUGUUAUUGACAACUUUUGAUAGGAUAAGGAUAUUUUAAACACAUUUUAAAAGAAAAAGAACCUUAGUAGUUAGUAGAAAGGAAAGCAAUUUUAGAUUCCAACCGUAUUAUUACUUGUGAAAUAUUAUCAUCUAGUGGGAAAACCGCAGUGAUUGUGCCUUCAAAGGGCAAUUUGAAAGGACAACCCCACCAAAAACCAUUAUAAUUGUAAAUUGAAAUGAUUGAUAUUAAAAAUGUUUGUACCUAUGUAAUUGUACAUGUAAAGCUGGAAAUUCAGGCAUACAUACAGGCUAUACAACAUAGUCAACAAUAAAGUCCUACCAGUCUGCUGAUAAAUGGGCUACUGAUAUUGUACUAAAUUAUGAUUUAGCUCUAUUUUACUCAAAUAAUGUUGAAGUAAGCUGCAGUAACUCUGUUGAAAUAUCUUUAGCUAUGCUAAACCAAACUGGAGAAGCAUGAAAAAAGCUGACGUGACUGCAAGUAACUAUUUAUUUACUUAUGAUAAAAAUAAAAGCCUAAGUUGGCCACUUAAAGUCAACCAAUUGUAUAAUUUUAAAAUUUAAAGAAAACACUGUACCCUUCCGUGGGAAAAAAUUAUGAAUCAGUUGCUUCAAAUAUGUAUGAAAAAAUAACUAAUAACUAAAUAAUAAGUAUGACUGGCAGUGUUAAUGGAAUUGUUUCCAGAAAAUGUCUAGAAAUAAACUGUCCUCUGGCAGGUAAAACAAAAUCUGUGCAAUCAAUUUUACGUGACCUUAAAUAUUUAUGCAUAAUUGAGGGAAAACAAUAUUAUGUUAAAGAAAAAUCAUAUGUAUUUAUGGACAAGUGCAAUUGCUACUUACAGGACUACAAAUAUGUUAUUUUGUAGUGUUUUGUCCAUUUGAUAAGUCCACACUUCUUAUUAAAGUACCAUUUGAUGUAGAAUUUAUACAAGAAAUGUUAAAAAUUUUGGUAGGGGUAUAUUUUUACAAUGUAUUAUCAGUUUUAUUCCAAUUAUAUAAGUAAAAAACUUGUUUUAAAA